CAAAGAACAAGUUCGGGUGGAAUCUGAAAGGGGGGUCGGCCCGCUGUCCACUCAGUUUCCCGAACAGAGGGAACUAAACUCAGAGGCCGCCCACCAUAUAAUGGUGGAACUGGAGCUCUCCACAGAGUCCAGUGUAGAUACUCUCCGCGAAUGGGCGGAGAGAAUAAGGGAAGACAAAAGUAUCCUUAAGCCCAUCAUUAAGGAAUACCUACCAAAAAGGUAGUCUGUCUUCCCCUCCUCACUUUCUCCCAUGUUUUUGUUGGUCAACAACCAACCACAGCUCUCGUUUUCUUCUUCACUACUCGUACAGGCUUGACGGAGUUAAGCUG
rnacentral:misc_RNA from 1 species